rnacentral:rRNA from 1 species
GUGCAGCAGGCGAGAAAACUUCACACUGUGCGAAAGCACGAUGAGGGAAUCCCAAGUGCUUGCACGUAAGUGUAAGCUGUUUCUCUGUUUAAAACGCAGAGAGAGUAAGGGCUGGGUAAGACGGGUGCCAGCCGCCGCGGUAAUACCUGCAGCUCAAGUGGUGACCGUUAUUAUUGGGCCUAAAACGUCCGUAGCCGGUUUAAUAAAUGCCUGGGUAAAUCGUGUAGCUUAACUAUACGAAUUCCGGGUAGACUGUUAAACUCGAGACCGGGAGAAGUUAGAGGUACUCCUGGGGUAGAGGUGAAAUUCUGUAAUCCUAGGGGGACCACCAGUGGCGAAGGCGUCUAACUAGAACGGGUCUGACGGUGAGGGACGAAGCCCUGGGGCGCAAACGGGAUUAGAUACCCGGGUAGU